GUAGAGGAAUGAACACCUGUUGCAGUUGAGCCCAUCAACAUCAGAAGUUGAGACUUAAACCACACCUGAACUUUGAGUGAGAUGCUUUUCCUAGUGUUGUCAAUCUGAGAAGCCAGCCUCUAUGGGAAAGCUUAAGCAGAGUAUACUCACCCAUGAAAUUUGGAUUUUGCUACAUUCAAACAGAGAAUAUCAACAGUGUUCCACUAUUAGAUGAUUGACUAAAGAAUGGAAGGAAACAGAAGACAGAAGCCUUUAUCUUAAUCUUUCUUUGCUUAAAGAAUCCAUCAGAUAUAAGAACUGAGAUGCGGAAAUAUGAAGUAGUUUGCCAAAACUCAAACAUCCAUAAUCUAUCUCCAGUCCCAAUUCCAAAGACCCUACUAUUUUACCAUCUGCCCUUGCCUCCCAGAGGUGAGGUGACAGGAGAGGGUCCCCUGCAUCAGCACACAAGCUUAGCUGCAAGAAGAAUAGAAUGCUAUGUACAUCUCAUUCCAAGUUGGAGAAGUGAAGACCAGGCAGUUACAAUAUUUGUGUAUCCAAUUGCCAGUCUACUCUAUGAAGACAUAAGGAAUGGAGUAACUAACACCCUGCUCCCUCAGCACUGUUUCAAUAGGCAGUAUUGUGAGAAAAUCUUUUUCGUGAGACGUUGCCUUGAGUAGUUUAUGAGCCCAGGGUAUUAUAGUCAUAGCAUCACUACAUUUCUUCCAUCAUGAUUUUCUUCUCUCAUUCCUUUAUGCAUUUUUGUAGCCAAAUUGUGUGUUUAAUUUGUGUUUACCGUAUUAUCCUAUCCCCCUCUACUCUGUUUCAAUCAACUUGAGAAACAGACAUGGGAACUAGGAGAUCUGAUUUAAUGUGUAUAUUAUCAUCACCAUUAAUCGUUUCUUUAGGAAGGCUGAGUAGGAUAUGCUUUAUCGCUUUAUCCUCCAUUUUGUGAUUUCUUUUGCUCAUUUCUAUAAACUAUGGGAAUGAUGAUUAAUAUUGGGAGCCUGAUUUUCCACUGUGAUGUUGGAACUCUGCCUUGAAUGAAAAGAUAGAGGACAGAUGCAGCUAGAAGCAGCAUUUCAGGGUGCACUUAGAUAUUUUACAAUGGUUUUGAUUUGUUCAAAAAUGUUCUCAAAUAGUAUUCAUUUUAUGGACUUAGUUUUGUGACAGCACUUCCAAUUUGGUG